AGGCACAAGUAGGACACCAACAUUACCUGCAAGCAAGACGCAAAAUUAAUAGAACAUCACCAUACUUGUGGCUUUCUUGCAAGUCGUGCAGUUGCUGCCUCAAGCUUGCUGCCU
rnacentral:pre_miRNA from 1 species